CGCUAAUUAAAUUGUAAUUCAAACACUCCAAAAUAAGUGAUAACUUAAAAUUAUAAUUCAGAAAUUAUUGUUAAACAAGAGAAGUAAAAUUCCAAUGUUCAAGAUGUCCGUGCUAAUUAUUUAUGAAAACUGUGUACAUGCUUGAUGAAUAUGCGAAUCUGACUAAACGUGCUGAUCAGACUGGGGGUUUGGACUUAGCCUGCGCCUUGGUUGAUGGACUUCCGCGUGUUGGGCUUGGACCCUUUUGAUGGGCAAACUCAACCCGAGUCAAGUUCUUUGGAGCAUGUAGCGGAUAUUCGCAAAACCAUUUUGCACUUUUUACCACGUGUGCAUUCAUGCGAUCAAUAUAUUUUUGUGUUCACGAGGCAUCCCUGCCCAACACAGAAUGCUGUUACUAUUAGAACAUAAUCUCUUUUGCAAAUAAAUAAUAACAAUUAUCUAAUUGGUACUAGAAUUCAACUUAAAUCUCUUAUAAAACAAAAUGUCUUGAAUUCAAAUCCUAGGAACACGUCAUAAAUUCGUGGGACUAUAAGAUUGACACGAACUCUGUCAAAACGAGCAAUAUAUAGAUUAACGAUUUGAGCAUAGGCUGAAUCAUUAUUUAAAAAAAGGCAACCUCACCACUUAAGCUGUCAACUUACAUAACAUGAGCCCACCUUACCCCUCAUAUCAUUUGCAUUACGAGAGAUUUAGUACUUGUUUGGUAGGGAUUUUGAUAAUUGAUUUUUUG
rnacentral:lncRNA from 1 species